rnacentral:rRNA from 1 species
GACGAACGCUGGCGGCGUGCUUAACACAUGCAAGUCGAGCGGUGAAGCCCCUUCGGGGGCGGAUCAGCGGCGAACGGGUGAGUAACACGUGGGCAACCUGCCCUCAGCACUGGGAUAACCCCGAGAAAUCGGGGCUAAUACCGGAUACGACCACUGAUGGCAUCAUCGGUGGUGGAAAGCUCCGGCGGCUGAGGAUAGGCCCGCGGCCUAUCAGCUUGUUGGUGGGGUGACGGCCUACCAAGGCGACGACGGGUAGCCGGCCUGAGAGGGCGACCGGCCACACUGGGACUGAGACACGGCCCAGACUCCUACGGGAGGCAGCAGUGGGGAAUAUUGCGCAAUGGGCGAAAGCCUGACGCAGCGACGCCGCGUGAGGGACGAAGGCCUUCGGGUUGUAAACCUCUUUCAGCAGGGACGAAGCGAAAGUGACUGUACCUGCAGAAGAAGCACCGGCUAACUACGUGCCAGCAGCCGCCGUAA